rnacentral:rRNA from 1 species
UACGUGAUCUCCAAGCGUUAUCCGGAUUUAUUGGGCGUAAAGAGUUCGUAGGCGGUUAGAUAAGUCUCUGGUUAAAGUUCCAUGGCUUAACUAUGGGAAUGCCAGAGAUACUUUCUGACUAGAGGGCGUUAGAGGCUGAUGGAACGGUCGGUGUAGGGGUGAAAUCCGUUGAUAUCGACCGGAACACUAAAAGCGAAGGCAUUCAGCUGGAGCGACCCUGACGCUGAGGAACGAAAGCGUGGGUAGCAAAAAGGAUUAGAUACCCCUGUA